UAAGAGACAGCAGCAGCCGCGGGAAAACGUAGGUGGCAAGCGUUGUCCGGAAUUAUUGGGCGUAAAGGGCACGUAGGCGGUGAAAAGGGUGGAAAGUGAAAGUCGCCAAAACACUGGCGGGGUGCUUUCUUGACCAUUUCACUUGAGUGAGAUAGGGGAGAGUGGAAUUUCGUGUGGAGGGAUCAAAUCCUAAGAUAUACGAAGGAACGCCAACCACGAAGGCAGCUCUCUGGGUCCCCACUGACGCUGGGGUGCGAAAGCAUGGGGAGAAAACAGGAUCAGAUACCCCAGUAGUCCCUGUCUCUUAUACA
rnacentral:rRNA from 1 species